GCCUGGCUGGCUCAGUUGGUAGAGCGCAUGACUCUUGAUCUUGGGGUUGUGAGUUCGAGCCCCAUGCUGGGUG